rnacentral:rRNA from 1 species
GAUGAACGCUGGCGGCGUGCCUAAUACAUGCAAGUCGAGCGAACAGACGAGGAGCUUGCUCCUCUGACGUUAGCGGCGGACGGGUGAGUAACACGUGGAUAACCUACCUAUAAGACUGGGAUAACUUCGGGAAACCGGAGCUAAUACCGGAUAAUAUAUUGAACCGCAUGGUUCAAUAGUGAAAGACGGUUUUGCUGUCACUUAUCGAUGGAUCCGCGCCGCAUUAGCUAGUUGGUAAGGUAACGGCUUACCAAGGCAACGAUGCGUAGCCGACCUGAGAGGGUGAUCGGCCACACUGGAACUGAGACACGGUCCAGACACCUACGGGAGGCAGCAGUAGGGAAUCUUCCGCAAUGGGCGAAAGCCUGACGGAGCAACGCCGCGUGAGUGAUGAAGGUCUUCGGAUCGUAAAACUCUGUUAUUAGGGAAGAACAAAUGUGUAAGUAACUAUACACGUCUUGACGGUACCUAAUCAGAAAGCCCCGGCUAACUACGUG